rnacentral:rRNA from 1 species
CAGGAUGAACGCUGGCGGCGUGCUUAACACAUGCAAGUCGAACGAUGAUGCCCAGCUUGCUGGGUGGAUUAGUGGCGAACGGGUGAGUAACACGUGAGUAACCUGCCCCUGACUCUGGGAUAAGCGUUGGAAACGACGUCUAAUACUGGAUAUGAUCACUGGCCGCAUGGUCUGGUGGUGGAAAGAUUUUUUGGUUGGGGAUGGACUCGCGGCCUAUCAGCUUGUUGGUGAGGUAAUGGCUCACCAAGGCGACGACGGGUAGCCGGCCUGAGAGGGUGACCGGCCACACUGGGACUGAGACACGGCCCAGACUCCUACGGGAGGCAGCAGUGGGGAAUAUUGCACAAUGGGCGAAAGCCUGAUGCAGCAACGCCGCGUGAGGGAUGACGGCCUUCGGGUUGUAAACCUCUUUUAGUAGGGAAGAAGCGAGAGUGACGGUACCUGCAGAAAAAGCACCGGCUAACUACGUGCCAGCAGCCGCGGUAAUACGUAGGGUGCAAGCGUUGUCCGGAAUUAUUGGGCGUAAAGAGCUCGUAGGCGGUUUGUCGCGUCUGCUGUGAAAUCCCGAGGCUCAACCUCGGGCUUGCAGUGGGUACGGGCAGACUAGAGUGCGGUAGGGGAGAUUGGAAUUCCUGGUGUAGCGGUGGAAUGCGCAGAUAUCAGGAGGAACACCGAUGGCGAAGGCAGAUCUCUGGGC